AAAAUGGAGAGUUUGAUCCUGGCUCAGGAUGAACGCUGGCGGUCUGCUUAACACAUGCAAGUCGAACGGGCUCUUUAGGGAGCUAGUGGCGG
rnacentral:rRNA from 1 species